UGGAGCAUGUGGUUUAAUUCGAUGAUACGCGAGGAACCUUACCUGGGCUCGAACGUAAGAUGACUGUAGGUGAAAGCUUACAUCUCUUCGGAGCAUUUUACGAGGUGCUGCAUGGUUGUCGUCAGCUCGUGCCGUGAGGUGUCGGGUUAAGUCCCAUAACGAGCGCAACCCCUACCUUUAGUUGCCAUCAGGUUAAGCUGGGGACUCUAAAGGAACUGCCUACGCAAGUAGUGAGGAAGGCGGGGAUGACGCCAAAUCAGCACGGCCCUUACGUCCAGGGCUACACACGUGCUACAAUGGCCGAUACAGAGGGCAGCUACCUGGUGACAGGAUGCAAAUCUCCAAAGUCGGUCUCAGUUCGGAUCGGAGUCUGCAACCCGACUCCGUGAAGUUGGAUUCGCUAGUAAUCGCGCAUCAGCCAUGGCGCGGUGAAUACGUUCCCGGGCCUU
rnacentral:rRNA from 1 species